rnacentral:rRNA from 1 species
GGCUCUUUGAAGAGAAUGUAUAAAGAGUCGAACCUGCCCAGUGAAUUAUUUUAAACGGCCGCGGUACCCUGACCGUGCAAAGGUAGCAUAAUCAUUUGCCUUAUAAUUGAAGGCUGGCAUGAAUGGUCUGACGGGAGUAAUACUGUCUCCUCUUUAUUAUCUAAAAAUUAACCUAUAGGUGAAGAGGCCUAUAUUAAAUUGAAGGACAAAAAGACCCUGUCGAGCUUUAAAAAAGAGCAGGACGUUAGUUAUUUAAAUAAAAUCAAUGAACUGCAUUAUGGUUUUUAGUUGGGGCGACGAAGGAACAAACAAAGCUUCUUUUAUUUCUGUAAAUUUAUAAAUUUGGAUCCAGCAGAGCUGAUUGGAAAAAUUAGUUACCGCAGGGAUAACAGCAUAAUCUCCUUCAAGAGACCUAAUCGAAAGGGGGGGUUGUGACCUCGAUGUUGGACUAGAAUAUCCUGAAGAUGCAGACGUCUUCGAAGGUUGGUCUGUUCGACCAUUAAAAUUCU